rnacentral:rRNA from 1 species
AGAGGGUGAUCGGUCACACUGGAACUGAGACACGGUCCCGACUCCUAGGGGAGGCAGCAGUGGGGAAUAUUGCACAAUGGGCGGAAGCCUGAUGCAGCGACGCCGCGUGAGGGAUGACGGCCUUCGGGUUGUAAACCUCUUUCAGUAGGGAAGAAGCGAAAGUGACGGUACCCGCAGAAUAAGCUCCGGCUAAUUCGUGCCAGCAGCCGCGGUAAUACGGAGGGUGCAAGCGUUAAUCGGAAUUACUGGGCGUAAAGCGUGCGCAGGCGGUUUGUUAAGCGAGAUGUGAAAUCCCCGGGCUUAACCUGGGAACUGCAUUUGAAACUGGCAGGCUAGAGUCUUGUAGAGGGGGGUAGAAUUCCAGGUGUAGCGGUGAAAUGCGUAGAGAUCUGGAGGAAUACCGGUGGCGAAGGCGGCCCCCUGGACAAUUGACGCUCAGAUCUGGCCUAAUUGACGCUGAGCCCUGGACAAACUGACGCUGAGGCUCGAAAGCGUGGGGAGCUGGGGAGCAAACAGGAUUAGAUACCCCUUAGUCCACGCCGUAAACGAUGACUUAGUCCACGCCGUAAACGAUGACAUGUUAGCCGUCGGGCAGUAUACUUUCAGUGUGAAGCUAACGCAUUAAGUUGUGCCGGAGCUAACGCGUUAAACGCGCCACCUGGGAAGGUACGAUCGCAAGAUUGGAACUGGGAGUACGUUCGCAAGAACGAAAACUCUUGGAAAUUGACGGGGGCCCGCACAAGCGGUGGAGCAUGUGGUUUAAUUCGAAGCAACGCGCAGAACCUUACCAACCCUUGACAUGCCUUGACCGAUGCAGAGAUGCAUUUUUCCUUUCGGGGACAGCGGCACAGGUGCUGCAUGGCUGUCGUCAGCUCGGUCGUGAGAUGUUGGUUUAAGUCCCGCAACGAGCGCAACCCUUACAGUCCCGCAACGAGCGCAACCCUCGUGGUCCCGUAACGAGGCAACCCUUGUUCACUGUUGCCAGCACGUUAUGGUGGGGACUCAGAGGAACCGCCGGUGACAAGCCGGAGGAAGGCGGGGAAUGACGUCAAGUCAUCAUGGCCCUUACGAGUCUGGCUACACACCUACAAUGGGCGGUACAAAGGGUUGCCAAACCGCGAGGUGGAGCUAAUCCCGUAAAACCGUCGUAGUUCGGAUUGGGGUCUGCAACUCGACUCCGGAAGCGAAUCGCUAGUAAUCGCGAAUCAGCACGUUGCGGUGAAUACGUUCCCGGGUCUUGUACACACCGCCCGUCACACCAUGGGAGCGGGUUUUACCAGAAGUAGGUAGCUUAACCGCAAGGAGGGCGCUUACCACGGUAGGAUUCGUGACUGGGGUGAAGUCGUAACAAGGUAGCCGUAUCGGAAGGUGCGGCUG